rnacentral:rRNA from 2 species
UGCAAGUCGAGCGAACUGAUUAGAAGCUUGCUUCUAUGACGUUAGCGGCGGACGGGUGAGUAACACGUGGGCAACCUGCCUGUAAGACUGGGAUAACUUCGGGAAACCGAAGCUAAUACCGGAUAGGAUCUUCUCCUUCAUGGGAGAUGAUUGAAAGAUGGUUUCGGCUAUCACUUACAGAUGGGCCCGCGGUGCAUUAGCUAGUUGGUGAGGUAACGGCUCACCAAGGCAACGAUGCAUAGCCGACCUGAGAGGGUGAUCGGCCACACUGGGACUGAGACACGGCCCAGACUCCUACGGGAGGCAGCAGUAGGGAAUCUUCCGCAAUGGACGAAAGUCUGACGGAGCAACGCCGCGUGAGUGAUGAAGGCUUUCGGGUCGUAAAACUCUGUUGUUAGGGAAGAACAAGUACGAGAGUAACUGCUCGUACCUUGACGGUACCUAACCAGAAAGCCACGGCUAACUACGUGCCAGCAGCCGCGGUAAUACGUAGGUGGCAAGCGUUAUCCGGAAUUAUUGGGCGUAAAGCGCGCGCAGGCGGUUUCUUAAGUCUGAUGUGAAAGCCCACGGCUCAACCGUGGAGGGUCAUUGGAAACUGGGGAACUUGAGUGCAGAAGAGAAAAGCGGAAUUCCACGUGUAGCGGUGAAAUGCGUAGAGAUGUGGAGGAACACCAGUGGCGAAGGCGGCUUUUUGGUCUGUAACUGACGCUGAGGCGCGAAAGCGUGGGGAGCAAACAGGAUUAGAUACNCUGGUAGUCCACGCCGUAAACGAUGAGUGCUAAGUGUUAGAGGGUUUCCGCCCUUUAGUGCUGCA